UACAGAGGAGCCAAGCGUUGUCCGGAUUGACUGGGCGUAAAGCGCACGCAGGCGGUUGCGCGCGUGGGGUGUGAAAUCUGGCCGCUUAACGGCCAGGCGCCAUCCCAUACGGCGCGACUGGAGUGAUGCAGAGGUCGAUGGAAUUGCCGGUGUAGUGGUGAAAUGCGUAGAUAUCGAGAGGAACACCUGCGGCGAAGGCGGGUAGCUGGGCCGACACUGACGGCUGAGGCGCGGAAAGCCAGGGGAGCGAACGGG
rnacentral:rRNA from 1 species